UACAUGUGGGGCAAGCGUUGUUCGGAAUCACUGGGCAUAAAGGGUGCGUAGGUGGUUGCAUGCGUCACGGGUGAAAGCCAGCGGCCCAACCGUUGAAUGGCCUGUGAUACGGUGCGACUUGAGUGUGUGAGGGGUAGGGGGAACGAGCAGUGUAGCGGUGAAAUGCGUAGAUAUUGCUCGGAAGGCCAACGCCGAAGGGACCCUACUGGUACACAACUGACACUGAGGCACGAAAGCGUGGGGAGCAAACAGG
rnacentral:rRNA from 1 species